GGUAUCUGCAUCCAUCAAACACGGACGGGAGGUUACGGUGACAUGGAGGGAGCCAGGAGCAAACGGCUCAGUUCAUCAAGCUGAGGGGGAAGAACGACGGCCUCUUCACCAGGGACAAACAUUCAGCAACCGUAGCUUUGGAUUAAGACAUUAGUCCAUUUGUAAUAUCUCCAUCUGACCAUCCUGUACUUAAGGUUACAGUUACAUUAGCUCUACUCCUAUAUAAAGCCUUUACUAAUAGGACAACCAGUAGA